rnacentral:piRNA from 1 species
UCGAGAAAUAAACUUGAUAAU